CUGUAAAAUCAAAUUGCUUACUAAUGAAGUUAUGUUGGCUUUGGGAAUAAUUUGUUUUCUUUAGGUUACUAUGUAAUAUUUGUUCUAAUACUGUAUUGGGUAUCACUUUUUCAACACUAUGCAAGAGAAGAAAACUAAAACAUGAUCACAUUUUUUGUAAUACAAUAUUCAAUAAAUUAAUGGUCUAUAGGGAAAUACUGCCCAUUGGGAAACAGAGAAAACCUAGAAAAUUUAACUGUAUGUCACUGGAAUGAACCUGGGAAUAAAAAUGUUAUGUAGAAGAAUCUCCUAUACUUUAUGUUCCUAAGUGAUUUCUACCCAUGUCAAGUCCCUGACUAACUAUCUUCAUUCAGAGCAUGUAACCACUAAUGAGGCCAAGAGAAAUCUAUAGAUUUAGAGAGAUGUAGUAUGUAAUGGUUUCAACUGUUUCGCAAGAGACUCUUCUGGAAAAGGCACUCUUGAACCUGGUCAAUGUAAGGAAAUCUGUUCAGCAGGUAGGCCAUAGCAAGUCUCAGUGACAUCAUCAUUAGGCCCUCCAUUAAAAAUCUCUUGUAUCCUGGAGAGCCCUAGUUUCUUCUGUGAUGUCACAAGUGUUGUGACAUCAUCUGCCUCUUAGAUAUUCCAUCAGUACCUCUAGAGUUUACUAAUUGAUCUGUAAUUCAGAAUAAACAGCCAUUUGAGAGAGAAAAAAAAAAGAGGAUGAAGAGAUCAGAGAUGGGGAGAAGGAACCUGGCCUUCUGUCUUGGUAUAAAAAAGAAGAAAUGUGUGGUCCAUGGUCAAGAAUAUAUGAUCCACAAAUGACAAUGCCAAAUAGACUCCCUCCUGUUCUCAUAACCUACUGAAGUUGAGGUUUCACUGGACCUCAAGCCAUUCCUCUUGCUGCCCAUCACCCAGAAACUAAUGUUUGGCCUGAAGGAAGAAUCAUGGUAAAACAUCCAAAAUCAUCAAGUCUUUCCCUGGACAAACAGGAAGGUGCACCGAGCUCUUGGAGAAGUUGCUGAACAUCCUAAAGACUUUUGGGCAGAUGGUAAAGUUUCUAGAUACCCCUUUUUAGAUUUCAAUUGUCCUGGGGAUUGUAUGGCUGGUGGUCAAUGUAUUCCAGGAAGAGUAUUAGAGCCAGAUUGAUUUUUAGAUGCAUGGGCUAAUGGCAUAAGGUCCAAAUGAUUUUUUUUUGAUGUGGACAUUCCGUCAGACCUUUGGAAAUAUAAAAGGGUUUUGUAUUUUUGAAGUCUAAUUUGCACAAUAACAAAUCACUUUGAGCAUCUUUGGAAGACAUGAGAUGUCCAGCAUUCCCUUGAAAGGAUUGGUAACUUUCCACAUUUCCUUCGUCAUUUUUUGAAAAUUCCACGGCCCUUUGGACAGAUGGAGAAUGUGUGGGACUCACCUGAGGAGUAGUUGUAGCUUUUGGUGUCUCUUUUGCAGAAGAAGAUAGCACAAGAUUUCUUUUGGCAGAAGGGGGAAGGUUGAAACUGUCUUCCUUAGAGGAGAAAUUUUUCAAGACUCCAUCAGAAGGAACAAACCUUAAACCACUGUUUCUAGAAACUGGAUGCCUGUGGUCCAUUUUGGAAGAGGGAGAAUAUCGAGUAUUUCUGUCCAGAGUGGACAUGUGAAAGAAAUCUAUUUGGGUAGAUGGGGAUAGUUGUAAAGCAUGCUGUUCAGAUGCAGUAGAUCCUAAGACAUCCUUCUCAGAUGAGGAAGGUCUUAAUGUACCUUGUACAUGUUUAGAAAUCCUGACUGACAUCAAAAUGGGGUGUAGGUAUUAGAGCUACCUCUGAAGAUGAGACCUCUCCUACAGCAUCAUGGGCAUAUGUGAGAGGGCUGAGAGCCUCAUGAGCAGAUAAGGAUGUUUCUACAUAUUGUUGACUAAUUGAGGAAGUUCCAAGAAAUAUUUCUUUUGCUAGAGAAGAGGAAACAGACUUUCGUAUAGAAGAGUCAGUUUCCCUAGCCUGCUUGACAGGCAAAACAGGUUCCAAGGCCCCUUCAGAAGGUAAGGAAAAGUGCAGAGCCAUUGAAGUAUUUUACAAAUGUUCUGGGUCCGCUUGUGGGUAUAAAGAAGGACAGGCAACCCUUUCUGCAUAUUUGGAAGAGUGUGUAGCAUCUUCUGUAGUUGGGGAAGAUGGCUAAUCUUGAGGAGAUAAGGAAGUUCUAUAGACUCCUGUGAAGUUUGCGGAGGUCAUAUGCAUUCUUUUGCACUAAUGGAAUCCAAGGAAUCCCUUUCCUCAGAUUUCGGGGAUGCUACAGACACUGGUGUUUGCAUAUCAUGUUCCCCUACUCCUGGUUCACAUAUGAUUCGACCCAUAACCUUCUCUACAGAUGGAAUAUGUCCUAGAACAUCUUUUGCACAUGUGUCCAAUCCACAAGCCAAUCCUAAAGAUGUGGCUGUGGGUAGAACUCUUUUGUAGAUGUUUCUUGUCUCACAGAAUCUUUAUGAGAUAGAGUACUACUCAGAGAAUACUGCUCAGUUUUGGAAAUUCUAGCAUCUCUGAUUUAUAUGUGGAAAAUUUUGGAACCUCUCCGUUCAGGACAAAAUGACCUAGAGUCCCCUGAGGAUGUAGGAGAUGUUUUAUCUUCUCUGCACAUUGUAUAAAUAUGGAGCCUGCAUGGCUCAUUGACUGUGUGUUGUGAUAAACCUGGCUCUUUUGAGCCUAAUGACAAGUCACGUGGGUCCUUUUCAGUGGUAGAAGAUAUUUGAAUAAUUCUCUGUUGUAUAGGGACAUUUGCAGUACAAGGGGAAAUGGUGAGGGUGCUAGAACAUAUUUUUUUAUGUUCGGAAGGCGUAAGAGUUCCUUGGGUGGACUCAGAAUUUUCUAACACAUCUUACAUGUGUUUGGAAUUCUCAAGAGCCCCUUCUGAAACUGGCAGUGGUCCUUGAACUAAUGGUGUAAAUGCAGAAAAUUUUGUCUCUGCUUGGGCUGGUAUGUGUGUUAUGAGGUUCACUUGGGGAUUUUGUCCCCCUUGGACCAUAAGUGAUUAUUUAAGCCCAUUCUUAAUAGUAUAGGACAUUGAAGGUCCUCUUGGUUUAAUAGGGUACUUCUGAAAUUCCCUUUGUCAGCAGAAUCAGGUUUCAAACUCAUUUUACCCGAAUCAGAUUGCAUAAGGCACUUUGGUGGAGAUGGGAGGCAUCUUUGUCUGUCUUUGUGAGUGGACAUGGCUCUGAUCCCUGCUUUGGCAGCUGGCCAAGGUAGUAAAGUCUCAUGGGGAGACAGGGCAGGAUUUAAUCCAUUUGUGGAAUAUGAGAAAACACAUAGAUAACCUUUAAGACAAGAACUUUUGCAGCCCUCUUUGUCUGAUGGGAUUUGUUGUACUCCCCUUGAACAGAAGGGUCUUUUCCAAUACACUUUGGAGGAGAAUUGGAAAGACUGGAGACCUGUAGGAUAGGGAAUUAACAUUUGAAUCUCCUUUGGAAACUCUGUGGGACAGAAAACUGAUCACCCAGAAGAGUGGGCAAUACUGAGACCACAGGGAAGGAGAGAUUGCCACUUCUGAUCACCGGUGCACACAUUCCUAGCCCAAGAGGAAACUGCAGAGUGCCUCUGGACACAUGAAUAUAGGAGUAGUCAAGCUUCAGGAGCCCUGCAGUACAAACUGCUCCUGGAUCUGAACUGGUCCUAACAUUAUUCUACACCCUAAUCUCAUGUGGGUUGAGGAAGUCUUAGAUUGUCAGAGGGGCAGAAACCCCUGAGAACUCUGCUCACAGUCCUGACUCAAGAAAAAAACACCUAGCUCCAUCUGGGCCUCCUGUUAAUAGGGACCUAGGGGCAGUAGGGGCAGAACAAUUUUGGUUACAGCCUUCAUGGAAAUCUGCAAGUCAGCCCAACGAGUGACUUCAGGCCUGAGACAAGAGGUGAAUCAAACUUUUCUGCUUGAAGUGAGCUGAGUGGUGGUCUCAGGACACACAAAGGCAGAACUGCCCUGGGACCAGUCAGUUCCAGUUUCUUGCAGGCUCCUGAACUUCUGUGGUCCUGGCCCAGAGCUCCCUGAUUCUAGUUGCUGUGGGAGAGAGAGCUGAUCACCCAGGAGUGUGGGCAAUACCAAGCGUACAAGGAACAGAGACUGCCACUUCUGCCCACCAUUGCCCACACCUCUAGCCCAAGACAAAACUGCCUAGUGCUUCUGGACACAGGAAUAUAGGAGGAGUAAAUCUAAAGGAGCACCAUGUUCCAGACUGUGCCUGGAUCUGAACUGAACUGGUCAAACAGCUCCUUGUACCAAAAUCCUGAGUGUGGGGGAACUAGACCUUCAGAGAAGCAGACACUCCUGGGAAACCAGAGAGGACUACACUCUGCCAAGAUUCCUGACUCAAGAGGAAAACAUUUUGUGCCAUCAGUGUCCCCACCCUACAGUGGGACCUAGGAGAAGUAUGGGAAUUUCCUUCUCGUUCCCGCCCACAGGGAAAGAUGAAAGGGAGUGGACAGGAGCAACUACAUGCCUGAGAACAGAAUACUUUGUUCCCAUAACUGGGUAAAACAAAACAGGAAAACAGGUCUACAGCAAUCCUGACACACAAGCCUACUGGGCGGUCAACCACCGACAGAAAGACCAAGAGAAGCUAGCUACAGAGACAACCUGAUGGCUAGUCAGGAACACAAGCAACAGAAAUCAAGACUACUUAGGCACAACAGAACCCAAUUCUCCCAUCAAAACAAACAGUGUAUAUCUAAACAAAAGCAAGAUCUAGAUUUAAAUUCACAUUUUAUCAUGACGGGGGAGUGUGUUAAGAAGGUCAUAAAUAACUCCUUUAAGAAUACAAAGGACAAUAGAAAAUACAGAAGUAAACAAGUAGAAUCCCUGAAAGAGUGAACUCAAAAGUACCUUAAAGAACUACUGGAAAAACUGCAAAACAGGAGAAGGAAAUAUACAAAACCACCCUGGAUUAAAAAUAGAAAUAGACACAAUAAAGAAAGCACAAGGAAGACAACUCUGAAAAUGGAAAACCUAGGAAAGAGACCAGGAGUCACAUGUGCGAGAAUCGCCAACAGGAUAAAAGAGAUUGAAGACAUAAUCUAAGGAGCACAAGAUUCCAUAGAAAUCAUUGACACAACUGUCAAAGAUAAUUUAAAUGGAAAAGCAGCUAGCCCAAAACAUAAAGGAUAUGCGGGGCACAAUGUGUAGAUCAAACCUAAGCUUAACAGGUUUUAGAAGAGAGUGAAGACUGUCAACAUCAAGGGACAGUAAUAUGUUCAACAAAAUUAUAGAAAGAAACUUCCCUAAUCUAAAGAAAGAGAUGCCCAUAAACAUACACAAAGCCGACAGAACUCCAAAUAGAUUGGACCAGAAAAGGAAAUCGUCCCAUCACAUAAUACUCAAAACACCAAAAUCGAAAAACAAAUAAAAAUAUUAAGAGCAGUAAUGGAAGAGGUCAAGUAACAUAUAAAGACAGACCUAUCAGAAUUAAAACAGAAUUCUCAGCAGAUACUACGAAAGCCAGAAGAUCCUGGACAGAUGUCAUACAGACACUAAGAGAACAAAAACACCAUCCCAGGAUACUGUAUCCAGCAAAACUCCUAAUUAACAUAGAUGGAGAAACCAAAAUAUUCCAUGACAAAACCAAAUUACAGAAUAUCUUUCUACAUAUCCAGUCCUGCAAAGGACCCUAACUGGCAAGCCCCAAAACAAGGAGGCAAGUAACAUCAUAGACAAAGCAAGAAAUUAAUCUUUUCACAACAAAUCGAAGAGAAGCACACAAUCAUUUUCUAACCUGCAAUUAUGAAAAUAACAGAAAGCGACCAUCACUAUUCUUUAAUAUCUCUCAUCAUCAAUGGACUCAAUUACCCACUAAAAAUACACAGAUUGACACACUGGAUAUGUAUUGAGGACACAGCAUGUUGCACUACAGGAAACACACUUCAGAGACAAAGACAGACACUACAUCAGAGGAAAAGACUGGAAAAAUCUUUCCAAAGAAAUGGUCUGAAGAAGCAAGCUGGAGUAUCCAUUCUAAUAUCAUACAAAAUCAACUUUCAACCGAAAGUCCUUCAAAAGCAUAACGAAGGACACUUCAUAUUUAUCAAAGGAAAAAUCCACCGAGAUGUACUCGAAAUCAUAAAUAUCUAUGCUGCAAAUACAAGGGCACUUAUAUACAAAGAAGAAACCUUACUAAAGUCAAAGAACAUAUGGCACCGCAAAUAAUAAGAGUAUGAGAUUUCAACACCCCAUUCUCACCACUGGACAGAUCACGGAAAGAGAAAUUAAACAGAUACAUAGAGAGACUAACAGAAGGUAUAAACCAAAUGGACUUAACAGAUAUUUAGAGAACAUUCUAUCCAAAACAAAAGGAAAUACAUUAUUCUCACCACCUCAUGGCCCUUUCUCCAACACUGAUCAUAUAAUCAGUCAAAAAGCAGGCCUCAAAGGAUACAGAAAUAUAGCAAUAAUUCCAUGCACUCUACCAGACUUCCAUGGGCUAAGGCUGUUCUUCAAAAACAAUCAGGAAAGAACACCAACAUAUACAUGGAAGUUGAAUAAUGCACUACUCAAUGAUAACGUGGUCAAGGAAACAUUAAAAGAAGAAAUUAAAGACUUCUUCUAAUUCAAUGAAAAUGAAGGUACAAUACACCCAAACUCUUGGGACACAAUGAAAGCUGUUCUAAGAGGAAAACCCAUAGCUCUGAGUGCCUACAGAAAGAAACAGGAGAGAGGAUACAUCAGCAGCUUGACAGCACACCUAAAACCUCUAGAUUAAAAAGGAGCAAAUACACCCAGGAUGAGUAGAAGUCAGGAAAUAAUCAAACACAGAGCUGAUAUCAACCAAGUAGAAAAAAAGGGACUAUACAAAGAAUCAACAGAACCAAUACCUGGCUCUCUGAGAAAAUCAACAGUAUAUAUUAACCCACAGCCAGACUAAACAGAGGAUACAGAGAGUGUCCAAAAUAACAAAAUCAAAUAUUAAAAAGGGAGACUUAACAGCAGUAUAAGAGGAAAUUUAAAAAAAAAUCAAUCUACUACAAAAGCCUAUGUUCAACAAAACUUGAAAAUCUGGAGAAAAAGAACAAUUUCCUAGACAAAUACUAGGUACCAAAGCUAAAUCAGGAAAAGAUAAACCAUUUGAACAACUCAUAACUCCCAAAGGAAUACAAGCAAUCAUCAAAACUCUCCCAACCAAAAAGAGUCCAGGAUCAGAUAGGUUUAAUGCAAAAAUCCAUCCAAAAUUCACUGAAAUUUUCAUAACAAUACUGUCCAAAGUAUUCCAUAAAAUUGAAAAGAUGUAGUACUACCGAAUUGCUUUCAUGAAGCCACAAUUGCUGUAAUAACUAAAACACAGAAAGACCCAACAAAGAAAGAGAACUUCAGACUAAUUUCUCUUACCAAUAUCGACACAAAAAUACUCAAAGAAAUUCUUGCAAACCUAAUCCGACAUCACAUUAAACAAUAAUACACUAUGAUUAAGAAGGAUUCAUUCCAGACUUGCAGGGAUGUUUUAAUACAGAAAACCAACAAUCUAAUCCAUUGCAUAAAGAAACUCAAAUAUGAAAAUCUUUCAUUAGAUGCUGAGAAAGAUUUUGACAAAAUUCAACAUCCCUUGAUGAUAAAAGUCCUGGAAAGGACAGAUAUUUAAGGCCCAUACCUAAAUAUAUACAGCAAAUACAUAGCUAACAUUAAACUAAGUGGAGAGAAAUUUAAAGCAAUCACACUGAAAUCAGGGACUAGACAAGGCUGCCCACUCUCUCACAACUUAUUCAAUACAGUUCUAGACGUCUUAGCCAGAGCAAGCAGACACUAAAGUAGGUCAAAGGGAUAAAGUUUGGAAAGGAAGAAGUCAAAAUAGCACUCUUUGCAGAUGAUAUGAUAGUAUACUUAGUGACCUCAAAAGUUCCACAAGAGAAUUACUAAGCCUGAUAAACAAUUUCAGCAAAGGGCCUGGGGAUAAAAAUAACUCUGUACAAAAGCUAAACAAGCGGAGAAAGAAACUAGGGAUAUGACACCCUUCAAAAUAGCCUCAAAUAAUAUAAAAUAUCUCAGGGUGACUUUAUCCAAGCAAGUAAAAGAUAUAAGCACAUGAGCAGAACAUCAUGUCUCCGAAGAAAGUGAAAAAGAUUUAAGAAAAUGGAAAGAUCUCCAAUGCUCAUGGACUGGCAGGAUUAAUAUAGUAAAAAUGGCAAUUAUACCAAAAGCAACCUACAGAUUCAUUCCAAUCCCCAUCAAAAUUUCAGUCCAAUUCUUCAUGGAGUUAGACAGAACAAUUCAUAAAUUCUUCUGGAAAAAAAACCCAGGAUAGCUAAAACUGUCCUCAACAAUAAAAGGACUUCCCUGGGAAUCACUAUCCCUGAACUCAAGGAGUAUUACAGAGCAAUAGUGAUAAAAACCAUAUGGCUUUAAGUCAGAGUCAGGCAUAUAAACCAGUGGAAUAGAAUUGAAGACCCAGAAAUGAACCCAUGGUCACUUAACUUUUGAGAAUGGAGCCAAAUCCAUCCAAUGGAAAAAAAGAUAGCAUUUUCUGCAAAUGGUGUUGGUUCAACUGGAGGUCAGCAUGUAGAAGAAGGCAAAUUGAUCCAUACUUACUGCCCUGUAGAAACCUUUAGUCCAAUUAGAUCAAGGACCUCCACAUCAAACCAGAUACACUCAAACUAAGGGAAGAAAAUUGGGUAAGUAUCUCAAACACAUGGGCACUGGAGAAAAUUUCCUGAAUAAAACAAAAAUGGCUCAUGCUCUAAGAUCAAGAAUUGACAAAUGUGAUCACAUAAAAUUGCAAAGCUUCUGUACGGCAUAGGACAUUGUUGUUAGGACAAAAUGGCAACCAACAGAUUGGAAAAAGAUCUUUACUAAUCCUAUAACAGAUAGAGAGUGUAUAUCCAAAAUAUUCAAAGAACACAUGAAGUUAGCCGGCAGGGAUACAAAGAACCCUAUUGAAAAAUGGGGUUCAGAGCAAAACAAAGAAUUCACAUCUGAAGAAUAUCGAUUGGCAGGGAAAUACCUAAAGAAAUGUUCAACAUCUUUAGUCAUAAGGUAAAUGCAAAUCAAAACAACCCUGAUAUUUCACCUCGCACCAGUCAGAAUGGCUUAGAUCAAAAACUCAGCUGAUAGCAAAUCCUGGCGAGGAUGUGGAAAAAAAGGAACACCCCCCAUUUUUGGUGGGAUUGGAGACUGGAACAACAAUUCUGGAAAUCAGUCUGGAGGUCCCUCAGAAAAUUGGACAUUGAUUUAUCUGAAGACCCAACUACACCUCUCUUUGGCAUAUAUCCAAAGAUGCCCCAACAUGUAUCAAAGACACGUGCUCCACUAUGUUCAUAGCAGCCUUAUUUAUAAUAGGAGAAGCUGGAAAGAACCUAGAUGCUUAUCAACAGAAGAAUGGAUACAGAAAAUAUGGCACAUGUUCACAAUGGAGUGUCAUUAAGAGAUACCAACUAAAUAACGAUGGAGAAACUUUACUGGCUCUUUAUCUGAUGUAUGGAUCAUAUCUAUAAGACACAAAAUACCUUAUUCAUCAGAAAUAAAGUAAUGCAAUUAAAUAUGCAAUAUGGUUGAUUAAAUGCUUAAAAUAAUGGCACAGUAAUUAUCAAAAAUUAUAUGAAAAUUACUAAACCCACAAAUCGUUGAUGAAGUACAAAUACAAAUGACAGUGUUUGAAUAGUGUUGCUGGAACAAAGGACCCUGGUAUAUGUUUGUUGGAUCUAAAAUUCAAUAUAGCUACUAAAGAAAUUAAUAUAAAACUGAAAACUGAAAUUAUUUGUGAUUCAAUAGUAACACUGAAGGAAUAUGUACCUUGAGGAAUAUGUCUAUUCCAGGUAUAACUCCAUGACUGUAUUUACCUUCUCACUGUUCAAAAUAUCCAUGUUACAAAAUUGGAAAAAUAAUUUAUAUAGGCACCAGACCUUUUUUUUUAACCAUCAAAAGAGCAAAAUUAUAUCAUUGGCAUGGAUAUUGAUGAAACUAGAUAUCAUUGUGCCAGUUGAAAAUCCAGAAAUAUGAAGACUAUUAUAUAAAUUUUAUGAA